rnacentral:lncRNA from 1 species
AUCAAAUUAAAUUUUGGUUCUUUAAGAGAUCUUCUUUGUACUCCGCCUUUUCGAUAUUAAUAAAGUAUUUGCUCCGUCUUCGCCCGUGGACGUAGGCCGUUGGCCGAACCACGUAAAUAUCGGUGUGUUCUUUCCUUAUCUUUUCUUUUCUUGCAUUAAAUUAUUUUCUGGAUCUAUUUUUCGCCGUUCCGAUUUUAACACGCGACGAUACGGAUGCUAACGUCGAAAUCCGUCUCGUCUUUCAGAUCACCGAUAAUAAAACCGCCGUCACUGUCUGCCACAUCCGCAUCGUCGAU